rnacentral:lncRNA from 1 species
GAAAGUUAUUUGAGGAGAAGAGGAGACUUACAAUGAUGAUUCAAAUGAAGGAAACUAAAAAGUAAUGAAGCAAGGCAGAGGAAAAAGCAGUAUUCACUUGAGCACAUCCCAAAAGAAUAACAUUUCAAAUGUAACUAGGAAAAAGUAUGCUGAAGUUCGCAAUACAGAAAUAAUUAUUAAUAAGAUAGCUUUAAAGCCCUGCUCAGCUUUUGAAUGUUGGGAAUUGACCCAGAGGUGGCUGUAACCUAAGAUGGUUCCUUCAGUAAUGACCAUUUUUUCUUUUUCAAGAUGAUGAUUAUUCCCCACCUUCUAAGAGACAAAGACCAACGAGCCACCACAGCCACCAGUCCCAGAACCCGCCAAUGCUGGGGAACGGAAAAUGAGGGAGUUCAACUCUGGCCCUCACAAUCCAGUGGAGGAGACGAAACUCAUCUGCCUCUGUCCCUCUGGGCACGCCUCAUGCCAGGUGCAUCUGUGGACAGGGGCCACGCUCCUGGGCUUCCAAAGUUGGAGAAAGCUGCCAGGCUCAG